rnacentral:rRNA from 1 species
UAACACGUGGAUCACCUACCUAUAAGACUGGGAUAACUUCGGGAAACCGGAGCUAAUACCGGAUAAUAUAUUGAACCGCAUGGUUCAAUAGUGAAAGACGGUUUAGCUGACACUUAUAGAUGGAUCCGCGCCGCAUUAGCUAGUAGGUAAGGUAACGGCUUACCACGGCAACCGAUGCGUAGCCGACCUGAGAGGGUGAUCGGCCACACUGGAACUGAGACACGGUCCAGACUCAUACGGGAGGCAGCAGUAGGGUAUCUUCCGCAAUGGGCGCAAAGCCUGACGGAGCAACGCCGCGUGAGUGAUGAAGGUCUUCGGAUCGUAAUACUCUGUUAUUAGGGAAGGACAAAUGUGUAAGUAACUAUGCACGUCGUGACGGUACCUUAUCAGAAAGCCACGGCUAACUACGUGCCAGCAGCCGCGGUAAUACGUAGGUGGCAAGCGUUAUCCGGAAUUAUUGGGCGUAAAGC